AGCGAACGCUGGCGGCAGGCUUAACACAUGCAAGUCGAGCGGGCCCUUCGGGGUCAGCGGCAGACGGGUGAGUAACGCGUGGGAACGUGCCCUUCGGUUCGGAAUAACCCUGGGAAACUAGGGCUAAUACCGGAUACGCCCUUCUGGGGAAAGGUUUACCGCCGAAGGAUCGGCCCGCGUCUGAUUAGCUUGUUGGUGAGGUAACGGCUCACUAAGGCGACGAUCCGUAGCUGGUCUGAGAGGAUGAUCAGCCACACUGGGACUGAGACACGGCCCAGACUCCUACGGGAGGCAGCAGUGGGGAAUAUUGGACAAUGGGGGCAACCCUGAUCCAGCCAUGCCGCGUGAGUGAUGACGGCCUUAGGGUUGUAAAGCUCUUUUACCCGGGACGAUAAUGACGGUACCGGGUGAAUAAGCCCCGGCUAACUUCGUGCCAGCAGCCGUGUAA
rnacentral:rRNA from 1 species